UGGGGAAUAUUGGACAAUGGGCGCAAGCCUGAUCCAGCAAUGCCGCGUGGGUGAAGAAGGUCCUCGGAUUGUAAAGCCCUUUCGGCGGGGACGAUGAUGACGGUACCCGCAGAAGAAGCCCCGGCUAACUUCGUGCCAGCAGCCGCGGUAAUACGAAGGGGGCUAGCGUUGCUCGGAAUGACUGGGCGUAAAGGGCGCGUAGGCGGCGCACUUAGUCAGGCGUGAAAGUCCUGGGCUCAACCUGGGAACUGCGCUUGAGACGGGUGUGCUGGAGGACGGAAGAGGCUCGCGGAAUUCCCAGUGUAGAGGUGAAAUUCGUAGAUAUUGGGAAGAACACCGGUGGCGAAGGCGGCGAGCUGGUCCGUAUCUGACGCUGAGGCGCGACAGCGUGGGGAGCAAACAGG
rnacentral:rRNA from 1 species